rnacentral:rRNA from 1 species
AACCAAGAAAUUUAGUCAUUCUUUUAUGGUAAAAAAACAGUUAGGCAGGGGUAGAAAAUCAUUAGAUCUUUAGUAUAGGAGUAAAAUCUAAAUACUAAAAGUUAUAUCAGACAUGAUUUAUUUAAGAUGCUGAGGCUGUGAUAGCUUUAAGGGAAACUGGGAUUGGAUACCCCAUUAUUUUUAGCUGUAAAUUUAGCUUGAGCUUACCAGAGUACUACGAAUAAAAAGUUUAAAACUCAAAGGGCUUGGCGGUGUUUUAGACCUCUCAGGGGAACCUGUCUCGUAAUCGACAAUCCACGAUAAACCUAACCUUUAAUGGCAGUUCAGCCUGUAUACCGUCGUCGUCAGGUAACUUCUUAAAAUAUAGUAGUUAGCUUGAGAAUUAUAUUAAUUAAAACGUCAGAUCAAGGUGCAGCCAAUGAAGAGGUGAAGAUGGGUUACAAUUACAUAUUUGUAAAUACGGAAAAACGUUUGAAAUGAAGUGUCUUAAAGGAGGACUUGAAAGUAAUUUUAUCUAUAUAAAUAGAAUGAAUAGGGCUCUGAAACGUG